UACGGAGGGUGCGAACGUUAAUCGGAAUCACUGGGCGUAAAGCGCGCGUAGGCGGUUUGUUAAGUGGGAUGUGAAAUCCCCGGGCUUAACCUGGGAAUUGCAUUUCAAACUGGCCGACUAGAGUACGGUAGAGGGAGGUAGAAUUUCCUGUGUAGCGGUGAAAUGCGUAGAUAUAGGAAGGAAUACCAGUGGCGAAGGCGGCCUCCUGGAUCGAUACUGACGCUGAGGAACGAAAGCUAGGGGAGCAAACAGG
rnacentral:rRNA from 1 species